ensembl:ncRNA lncRNA:CR44803 long non-coding RNA:CR44803
UCAGUGUAUUGAUGAAGACGUCUUCUAAGAAAAAACGAGGCAUGGACGACAUAGGGCAACGUAAGAAACUUUUCAAAAAUUAUUGAAAUGUCACGUAGCAACUUCUCAAAUUGCAAAAAUCCUGACGCUGUCGUUCAAUGCGCUCUGCGGAUUGAUAGAGCGAGUCGUGAACCAAGGAGAACUCGAAGGCAGCACAUCUUAGGAGGUGGGUGGCCAGUGGGAGAUCGUGCUGGGCUGCACUUGUCGCCUGCAGUUGGAAGGCGAAAGGGAAAGAACAAGUGUCUGGGCUGGGUGAUGGGUGGGGGUGGAGCAGUCACGCCUCGGCCGCUGACACUAAGACGCCAACCCAACAAAAUCCCCGAGCCAGUCAGGCCCAAAGCAGCAGCAAAUCCAAUACACACGGCCACUGGCUGCCCCAUAAGGUUGCUUCGAAUACCCAGCACCACCCAGCACCGCCAUAUCCAACCCAGCCCCAGUUACCAACCGCAAUUUAACGUGCGAACGACAGUUUGACCCACGGACCGGGUUCCUGUUUUUCUUUGUGCUCUUUUUGGGUGGCAAAACAUCAUUAGGAUAUUUCAGGAGCGGAGUGCAGGUUUUGAUCCGACUUCGCUCUCAGGAUUCGGUAUGUCUUCACCAAGUUAUGAAU